CAGAGAUCAUUUGCGAAUGAGGGAAAAUCUAAGGCACAGGGCGUAUUUGAAAAGGCCGAGGGCAGCAUGGACGUAGAAUGAAUGAACGAAAGGAUAAAUAAUUAAAUAAAUGCCUACAGAGAGGAGUCAUAUUGCUGCCCUCUGUUGGUUGUAUCUGAAGCUGAGCGAGACAUGACUUGACCUGCCAAUGUGAGGUUCCUGUUUUGGCACACUGAACAUUUCAGCUGUGGCAAGAAUGUUGUUUCCGGGUUUAAAAGAGUCUUUCUUUGGGCUGCUAAAGGUACGGUUGAGGUUUAAUAAAAAAAUAAGGAAAAAAGUGGUUAUUUUUUUCACUAAACUAUGAAGCUUUUCAGAGAAUAUACUUUAACUUUUUUUCUAUAUAUCAGUGUAAAAAAUAAAGAGGACUUUGUCAGUAUCGAACGAAGACCACUAGGAGCUCAAUGUGAGGAUUUACCUCAGUUGGUGACAGUUUGGAAAUGCUAUUAUGUUGUAUAAGACACAAACCAAAAGCUGCAAUUGGAUUAUUUAGAUUUUUUUAUAAUGGCUUUGAAAAUCAACAUUUUAAACUUCACGUAUUUUGGUUUCCUCGACUGAACUGUUGAUGUGGGAAAACAUUUAUGGAACUUUUUAUACAAAAAGAAACAUUAGUUGUAAAAGAAUGGUCGCUGUCCCGGUUAAAGGGAUGAUCGGUUGUUCCUUUAGUUCUAUUCAGGUGUCUCAUUCAUGCUCUCACUUGUGUAAUUCCUUAACUACUGUGCUGCUAAUACUUAACAAAGACAUGUUUCCUAUAUUUUGUAAUGUCCCAGUUUAUUGUGCACACACACAUACAAAUGUCUAAUGGCAAAAUAUUCUCAAAAUAUACUUUUUUAUUAUUUUACGUUUUUAAUUAUUGUGAAGAUUUGAAAUUGUGUCCCAGUUAAACAAUGCGUAUAAUCCUCAGGGAAGGCCUUGCCAAGUGACUUUACCCCUCAAUUAUUAUCAAUUUCUCUCUCUCUCUCUAUAUAUAUAUAUUUUUUUUUUUAUUUAAAACAUACUUGUAUACAGACUCUAAGAUUUUGAAACAACAUGAGAAGCAUUAAUUAAGUGAAAUCAAUCACUUAUAGUAUAUUUUAUUGUAAAACCUAUAUUUGUGUUGCAGUCCAUCGUAUUAUUCUACUAAUACAUAUAAUUUACAAACAUAUUUUGCUUUUAUUGCACUGCAUUAGUAAAAAACAACACGCAGGGACAAGCUUCCAAAAUGCCUGACUCAUUAGUGUAUUCGGUGAAUACUCUUUGUUUCUUUGUGUAAAAACACAUACAUACAUAAUCUACGCAUAUUUUAGAUUUCAAAGGUCCUUUUUUUCCCGACACGGUGCAAUAAAGACCACGUCCAGUCAGACGUGCAAAUCACUAAGAGCCACCACUGAAACAAAAUGUUCUCUGCGUGGAAUCCUCCCUGCACGUGUUGCCGGUUGAGCCGCGUUAAUCAAGCGGGAUUUCGAAAACACAAUCCGGGAAGGCGUGCACCACGCGGAUACCGGAUUUUCAUGUCCAUGAUCCUGAAAAAAAAAAAAAAAAGACAGAAUUCUGACUUUUUAAUGAUGAUUAAAAGCAUUUUUGAAACGUGCCUGGUGGACACGUGGCAGAGCCGCGCGUCGAGGCCGGUGGCGGCGUUCCAUCGGCGUCCCUGCGCCGUCCCUGCCUAAUGUAGGUCAAAGCAGUGACGGAAGGGGUGUCCUCCGCUGAACCCGCGGUAUUAACAUCCACAUGGCAGUCCUGCAGAUGGCGCGCACAUUCAACUGAGCGCCCCCGGGUGCUCACGCAAACAAACGUGACCCGGAGCCGUUUCAGCCCGGAGAGACGACGGCGACCGUCCGAAGCG
ensembl:lncRNA